rnacentral:rRNA from 1 species
GACGAACGCUGGCGGCGUGCUUAACACAUGCAAGUCGAACGGAAAGGCCCUGCUUUUGUGGGGUGCUCGAGUGGCGAACGGGUGAGUAACACGUGAGUAACCUGCCCUUGACUUUGGGAUAACUUCAGGAAACUGGGGCUAAUACCGGAUAGGAGCUCCUGCUGCAUGGUGGGGGUUGGAAAGUUUCGGCGGUUGGGGAUGGACUCGCGGCUUAUCAGCUUGUUGGUGGGGUAGUGGCUUACCAAGGCUUUGACGGGUAGCCGGCCUGAGAGGGUGACCGGCCACAUUGGGACUGAGAUACGGCCCAGACUCCUACGGGAGGCAGCAGUGGGGAAUAUUGCACAAUGGGGGAAGCCUGAUGCAGCAACGCCGCGUGCGGGAUGACGGCCUUCGGGUUGUAAACCGCUUUCGCCUGUGACGAAGCGUGAGUGACGGUAAUGGGUAAAGAAGCACCGGCUAACUACGUG